AAAAGCAAGACAACUACAAGGGCUAAGAUCUACCUAAGUGUCCAAGACACCUACAAACAAGCCUGCUGCUUUCUAAAAACCUUUUCACCAAUACAUGAGACAACCCACAGCAACGAAGCAUAGAGGGAGUAUGACUUCUUUAUGGUUCCACCCACCACUAUCCAUUUUGAGCUGCUUCUUCACUUCCAGCAAAUCCCCCUUAAGUGAUGCAAAGUGGGUGGCAAACUCUUAACUCAAGGAUUCCAUCCUCUCCUCCAUCUCAUGCUUG
rnacentral:lncRNA from 1 species